CUCUAAGUUGACUGCCGGUGACAAACCGGAGGAAGGUGGGGAUGACGUCAAAUCAUCAUGCCCCUUAUGAUUUGGGCUACACACGUGCUACAAUGGACAAUACAAAGGGCAGCGAAACCGCGAGGUCAAGCAAAUCCCAUAAAGUUGUUCUCAGUUCGGAUUGUAGUCUGCAACUCGACUACAUGAAGCUGGAAUCGCUAGUAAUCGUAGAUCAGCAUGCUACGGUGAAUACGUUCCCGGGUCUUGUACACACCGCCCGUCACACCACGAGAGUUUGUAACACCCGAAGCCGGUGGAGUAACCUUUUAGGAGCUAGCCGUCGAAGGUGGGACAAAUGAUUGGGGUGAAGUCGUAACAAGGUAGCCGUAUCGGAAGGUGCGGCUGGAUCACCUCCUUU
rnacentral:rRNA from 1 species